rnacentral:rRNA from 1 species
GACGAACGCUGGCGGCGUGCCUAACACAUGCAAGUCGAGCGGGGAGAGAUUUUCGGAUUUCUCUUUAGCGGCGGACGGGUGAGUAACACGUGGGUAACCUGCCUCAAAGUGGGGGAUAGCCUUCCGAAAGGAAGAUUAAUACCGCAUAACAUCGGAGCACUGCAUGGUGCUUUGAUCAAAGGAGCAAUCCGCUUUGAGAUGGACCCGCGGCGCAUUAGCUAGUUGGUGAGGUAACGGCCCACCAAGGCGACGAUGCGUAGCCGACCUGAGAGGGUGAUCGGCCACAUUGGAACUGAGACACGGUCCAGACUCCUACGGGAGGCUG